UAGAAAAGUCUUUUUCAGUCUGACAAAUAAUACAUUUUAAAUUUGAACGGCAGACGAAGUGCAACAUGGAUUUUCGAUCUUAUUCAGUACUCUACAAAUAAAGAUUAGAAAUGAUUGAAUUAUUUCCUAUAGCCGAUCCUGUGCCAUGGCCCUUCGCUGGCGUAUUUUGGCCGCUUGGCACAACUAUAACCGCGUAUUUAAUUUUUGUGCUGAAGCUCGGACCAAAGCUUAUGGCAAAUCGAGAACCCUUUAAGCUGCGCGGUGUCCUUAAAGUAUAUAAUUUGUUUCAAAUUAUAUAUAAUAUUAUUCUGGUGUUAUGCGGCUUAUAUCUCUUACUCUGGAGUAAGGCUUAUCCCGACUUAAGCUGCAUUAUGAUAUUGCCUCUCGAUCACGAAAUGAAGAACAUCGACCGCAUAAUUAAUUACUUAUAUCUUCUGAACAAAAUCGUCGAUUUGCUGGACACGAUCUUCUUUGUGCUGCGGAAAAGCUAUAAACAGAUUACCUUACUUCAUCUUAUUCAUCAUGUCUAUAUGCCAUCAGGCUGUUACUUUUUCCUUCGAUUAUAUGGAUUCGGAGGUCACUUAGUUUUAACAGGAACUUUCAACUCUAUUACGCAUACAGUGAUGUAUAUCUACUAUUAUCUGUCAUCUCAGAAUCCGAAUAUUAAGCAAAGCAUAUGGUGGAAGCAAUACGUGACCAUUAUGCAAAUGGUUCAGUUCAUCUUGAUGUUUAUUCACAGCUUAUGGACGCUUAUGCAAAAAAGAGUGUCAGAUGCCCUAUCCACUGAUAUUUAUUGUGUUUUUUAUAGCAGGCCUUAUGUUAGUGAUGUUCACCAACUUUUAUAUAAAAUCCUAUUUAAAGAAAAAUACUACUACUACUAGUCGAAAGAUGUAAGAAAGCUAAGAUUGAGUGCAAGACAUUAUGGAAUAAGUCUUAAAAUAAUUGAUCGAAUUCUGUAAAAUAUAUUGAAGGCGGCUGUAUAUUACCAUGUUAUCAUAGACUACAAAAUAUAUCAGAUUUUCAACCAAAGUAA